UGGGGAAUCUUGGACAAUGGGCGCAAGCCUGAUCCAGCCAUGCCGCGUGGAUGAUGAAGGCCUUAGGGUUGUAAAAUCCUUUUCGUUGGGGACGAUAAUGACGGUACCCAAAGAAGAAGCUCCGGCUAACUUCGUGCCAGCAGCCGCGGUAAUACGAAGGGGGCUAGCGUUGUUCGGAUUUACUGGGCGUAAAGCGCGUGUAGGCGGAUUUGUAAGUUGGGGGUGAAAUCCCGAGGCUCAACCUCGGAACUGCCUCCAAAACUACAAGUCUGGACCUAAGUAGAGGCAAGUGGAAUUGCGAGUGUAGAGGUGAAAUUCGUAGAUAUUCGCAGGAACACCAGUGGCGAAGGCGACUUGCUGGACUUAUGGUGACGCUGAGACGCGAAAGCGUGGGGAGCAAACAGGAUUAGAUACCCCAGUAGUCCCUGAGCGGGCUGGCAAGGCGCAU
rnacentral:rRNA from 1 species